rnacentral:rRNA from 1 species
UACGUAGGGUGCGAGCGUUGUCCGAAAUUAUUGGGCGUAAAGGGCUCGUAGGCGGUUUGUCGCGUCGGGAGUGAAAACCCAGGGCUUAACCCUGGGCUGGCUUCCGAUACGGGCAGACUAGAGGUAUGCAGGGGAGAACGGAAUUCCUGGUGUAGCGGUGAAAUGCGCAGAUAUCAAGGAGGAACACCGGUGGCGAAGGCGGUUCUCUGGGCAUUACCUGACGCUGAGGAGCGAAAGUGUGGGGAGCGAACAGGAAUUAGAGUAC